rnacentral:rRNA from 1 species
CAGUCGCCACGGUAAUACGGGGGGGGCAAGUGUUAUUCGGAAUGACUGGGCGUAAAGGGCACGUAGGCGGUGAAAAGGGUGGAAAGUGAAAGUCGCCAAAACACUGGCGGGGUGCUUUCUUGACCAUUUCACUUGAGUGAGAUAGGGGAGAGUGGAAUUUCGUGUGGAGGGAUCAAAUCCUAAGAUAUACGAAGGAACGCCAACCGCGAAGGCAGCUCUCUGGGUCCCCACUGACGCUGGGGUGCGAAAGCAUGGGGAGCAAACAGGAUCAGAUACCCCGGUAGUCCCUGUCUCUUAUACC